rnacentral:lncRNA from 1 species
GUUUUAGAGUUGAGGGGUGGGGUAUGGUUUUGGAAUGUGAAAUUUAGGAUUCUAAUAAAUAUAUAAACAAAUACUUAAAUUUUUUUUAAAGAAAUUUAAAUAAUAGCUUCAAACAUAAUUUUCAUCUUUCAAAAAAAAAUUUGAAAAAAAAAAUUCAAAAAAAAAGAUUUCAAAAAAAUAACUUUAUAAAAAAGUUCGAUUUUGAAAA